CGCAUUGUUUUGAUUUUCAAAAAUACGAGUUCAAUGUAAGAUUUAAUCGUGAUCCUGUUGAAAAGACGAGAAAUUUUAGUUUUUUGGUUUUUUAGAAUGGUGUUCCGUCUUUAACACGAGCCGACAAAUUCCAUCCAACAUAGCGAUGAAAUCUACGGCUUAAUGUUAAAUCGAUACAUUGCCUUACUUAUUAAAAACAAGAAUAAGAUUUUCGAAAUAAUGCAAAGCAAAUUAAUAAAUAAAAAUAAAUAGAAGACAGAUCUAGAAGUAUAUUGAAG
rnacentral:lncRNA from 1 species